UAGCAUAUGCUUGUCUCAAAGAUUAAGCCAUGCAUGUCUAAGUAUAAACACCUUUAUACCGUGAAACUGCGUACAGCUCAUUACAUCAGUUAUUAUUUCCUUGAAUGUCACUUACUACAUGGAUACCCGUAGUAAUUCUAGAGCUAAUACAUGCGCAAAGUCCCGACUUCUCGGAAGGGAUGUAUUUAUUAGAUUUCCAAGCCAGCCGGUGGGGGGGGCAACUCCUCCACUCUUAUGGUGAUUCAUAGUAACUUUUACGAAUCGCGGGUUUUCCCGC
rnacentral:rRNA from 1 species